UUUCCGACAUAAAACUAACUCCCAUUUAAAUUCUGAGAAAAUAUUACACAAUGUCUUAAAUGAACAUUAUUGGGAAAACAGUGAUGAAUAUCAUUUGACUUGACUAUAAAACAAAUAACUUAAUUAAAUGUUUAAAAUUUCGUAUUACUUUCAAGCACUCACGAAUUAGGGUGUGGCAUCACGCAUCAAGACCGUUAACGACAUGCAAGAAUCCUCCAUAUCGCCUUGCGGCCGAUGUUGGCACUAAUUGGCUCACGCAUUGUUUAAGUGUUAUUCCAGUUGUCGGAAAUAAAAUUAUUCCAGUUGUCGGAAAUAAAACAAUCUAGGAUCGUCACUACCAAAUUCUAGCAUUUAUAGUCAAUGUUAAUUCCAAUCUUGACGUCACGUAUCACGUUAAUUCAUUAACUCAUUAAAGUACAUAUUCACUUUUUUCCUUCAAACUGGUGAAAAUUCAAAGCAAAAAAGCGCAUGUGCGAUCAGUUGAGAAUAGUCUGUUUUUCUCUGGUUACGUGCCUUUAAAUCGCAAUUGCCAAACGCCAAAAGGGAAGAGAAUCACAAGGAAAUGUGAAAACGUCACUUAAGGUGGGGUAAGAAUAAUAUAGCCCUUGUAAUUUUCAACGUCAUAGGCUAGUGGCGAGCAUUAGGGGGACACAAAUUCUUAUAAAAUGAAGACAAAUCAAAAUUGGAACCAGUCGAGUGGACUCAUCGAUCGGCAACGGUAGGAAGGAGAGUGUCACACUCACACAGCCGUUCACUAUCCAGUCCACAUAAUCUUACAGUCAUGGUCCUAAACAAAAUGAACCAAUUGAACCACGUUCGACUAACUACCCGCGUUCUUCCGAAGACAAAACAAACUCUGCAACGACUCUCUCCAACAUUAACGAGACGAUGGAGUCACCGAAACUGCAUCUUGUGCAGCUUGAUACUCGAAUCGCCUCAAUGUGUCCCCCAUAACGGUCAAAAUGUAGAGAGUCGCGACACUGCCAGGAUUACAGAGAUCACUAGUUCAAGAGAGAGCAUUGCUUUGGAUGCCUUGCUUCUUCGGACCACGGGUAAUCGUCUGAAAGGAGUAAAUUUAAUUAUUUCUGAAAUUUGAAACAAGAAUGCAGCCAGGAUAGCAUGAGCCAGGGACGAGACAAAAUUAUUCAGUGAAAAAACCGUGCUGGUUGUUACACCGCUGUUUCUACUUUACGCAUUCGAAAGGCAACCUUCUGCAGCCAUCGUUUAAAUCUGAAUCCACCUUUCUUCUUGGUGAUAUCUGCGUUCUUUUGUAUAACGUCCGUGCUGCAGAUCGGGUUAAUCUUCUUUGCUUCAGAAAUGCCGCUGGCCUCCGUUACGACCUCCUUCAAUGCAGUGGUGUUUGCCUUAUUUUGUGUGCUGAGGUCAGCACUGGCUGGAUCUGGACUGUUGGUCGUCCACACCCCCAAAUUUCAAGAUGGUUUUUCUUUGCUUUAUUUUUUCAAUCUUCGAGACAUGCAUUUUUAAUAAACCUUUUUGCUCAUA